GCCUAGCCCCGAUUGAAGCAAUUGUUUGAGCUCUUUUUUGUUUUUUUCAAACAAAAAAAGCGAGUGCGAAAAGCGGGAAACUGC
rnacentral:sRNA from 1 species